UACAGAGGGUGCGAGCGUUGUUCGGAAUUAUUGGGCGUAAAGCGCUGGUAGGUGGCUUGUUAAGUCGCGUGUGAAAGCUCCCGGCUCAACCGGGAAAGUGCGCGCGAAACUGGCGAGCUUGAGUGCCGGAGAGGGUCGCGGAAUUCCCAGUGUAGAGGUGAAAUUCGUAGAUAUUGGGAGGAACACCAGAGGCGAAGGCGGCGACCUGGGAGGUAACUGACACUGAGCAGCGAAAGCGUGGGAGCAAACAGG
rnacentral:rRNA from 1 species